UAUUUUGGAUGAUGUCAGCGAGAGGCAAAAAUCGGGAAUGUCCGAUUGUUUGGUGGUGACACUAUCAUCGUUGUCAUUCACGUUUGAGUAAAGGAUAUGUCAAUUUGAAAUCCAUCUUCCCGAUUAAUCACUAUCAAAACAUGCUUCACACUGUCCAAUAAGCACCCCGACACAGGCAGACCAGGGCCGGGAUUCAUAAACAGUCUUAGAAUGUACUUAAGUAUAAGAAAAUUCUUAAACCAAUAAAAAACUUAAGUAAUUGUAAGAUUUUGAGUUUUUCUGCUUAGUUUUAUUCAUAAAACAACUUAAGUGUAAGAAAAUUCUUAAACAGUUCUUAACUUUAAGUGUAGUCUUUAGCAGUCUUAAAUUGUUAAGAAAAACUUAAGUCAAGAAUCAUAAUGGCCGCCAAUAGAGCACACAGGCGAUGUUUUCGAGAAAGAAAGGACUAUUUAGCUCAGUACAGUGAUACACAACUUGUGGAAAGGUUUAGACUGGAUUCAGUCGGUAUUUAUUUCAUUGAAAGUUUGAUUGCACAUGAAAUUAUCAGUAGUUCAGAGAGAAAUCAUGCAGUAUCGCCACUUCAGAAAAUCUUGCUGACUCUACGAUUUGUUGCCACUGGAAAGAUGCAGCUGUGUAACGGAGACGACAUGGGUGUUUCCCAGUCCACCGUGUCUAGGGCUAUAACUGCAACCCUCCAAAGUCUGUCCUCCCAAAGAAUUGUUACACAAUUCAUUAAAUUCCCACAGAAUACUCCUGACAUUCGUAAAAACCAAGAGGAAUUUUUCUCUAUCGCUGGGUUUCCGGGAGUUGUUGGGACCAUUGACGGCACUCACAUUCAAAUAAUUGCCCCGAGUGAAUAUGAAAAUGAGUAUGUAAAUAGACACCAUUACCAUAGCAUCAACACACAGGUGGUCUUUGAUCCAUUCUACAAAAUCCUUGAUGUCGUAACAAAAUGGCCGGGUUCUACGCAUGACGCUAGGAUUCUGAACGAAAGCGGUCUCAAAGUACUGUUUGACCAAGGAAGGUUACCUGUCCAUACACACUUGCUAGGAGAUAGUGGGUAUCCUUCGAAGAGAUGGCUCUUGACUCCAUUUUUGCAUCCCAAUCAAGGUUGUCAGACAAAUCAUAACAGGUGAGAAUCAUUGUUUUUCGAUCCGCGUUCAUGGCUGUACUGAAAGUCC